UUAUGAUGAGUUAUUUAGAUGACGAGUCUGAACCUGCUGAGGCCGAGUUUCUUUGUUUCAGCGGAACGUGACGACUCUAUCAAAUAUUAUACCAUUCAUGCUUUUCUGAUA
rnacentral:snoRNA from 1 species